rnacentral:hammerhead_ribozyme from 1 species
AUCCAGCUGAUGAGUCCCAAAUAGGGCGAAACGCGCGUCUUGGAU